UACGAAGGGGGCUAGCGUUGCUCGGAAUUACUGGGCGUAAAGCGCACGUAGGCGGAUCUUUAAGUCAGGGGUGAAAUCCUGGAGCUCAACUCCAGAACUGCCUUUGAUACUGAGGACCUUGAGUUCGGGAGAGGUGAGUGGAACUGCGAGUGUAGAGGCGAAAUUCGUAGAUAUUCGCAAGAACACCAGUGGCGAAGGCGGCUCACUGGCCCGAUACUGACGCUGAGGUGCGAAAGCGUGGGGAGCAAACAGG
rnacentral:rRNA from 1 species